rnacentral:rRNA from 1 species
GUUGGUGGUUGGAGCGGCGGGGGUCCACCCGGUCCCAUCCCGAACCCGGCAGUUAAGCCCGUCAGCGCCGAUGGUACUGGGGGAGUCGUCCUCUGGGAGAGUAGGUCACUGCCAACU